rnacentral:rRNA from 1 species
AGUGACAAAGUUCAACGGCCGCGGUACCCUAACCGUGCGAAGGUAGCAUAAUCACUUGUUCUUUAAAUGAGGACUUGUAUCAACGGCACUACGAGGGCUAUACUGUCUCCUUUUUCUAAUCAGUGAAACUGAUCUCCCCGUGAAGAAGCGGGGAUCAAAAUAUAAGACGAAGAGACCCCAUGGAGCUUUAAACUCACCACACACCUCUGUGAUGCUAUACCAUUAAACACAAGAAAUCUGUGUGCUAGUUUUAGGUUGGGGUGACCACGGAGUACAAUUUAACCUCCAUAACAAAUGGGCUAAUACCCUUAUCCACGAGACACAACUCUAAGAAUUACUAAACUAAUGCUUAUGACCCGAUAUUCGAUCAAUGAACCAAGUUACCCUGGGGAUAACAGCGCAAUCUACUUCAAGAGUCCCUAUCGACAAGUAGGUUUACGACCUCGAUGUUGGAUCAGGGUAUCCCGGUGGUGCAGCCGCUACCGAUGGUUCGUUUGUUCAACGAUUAAAACCCUACGUGA